AGCGAACGCUGGCGGCAGGCUUAACACAUGCAAGUCGAACGCGCGUAGCAAUACGUGAGUGGCAGACGGGUGAGGAACACGUGGGAAUAUGCCCUUUGGUUCGGAAUAACUCAGGGAAACUUGAGCUAAUACCGGAUAUCUCCGAGAGGAGAAAGAUUUAUCGCCAAAGGAUUAGCCCGCGUCUGAUUAGCUAGUUGGUGAGGUAACGGCUCACCAAGGCGACGAUCAGUAGCUGGUCUGAGAGGAUGAUCAGCCACACUGGGACUGAGACACGGCCCAGACUCCUACGGGAGGCAGCAGUGGGGGAAUAUUGGACAAUGGGCGAAAGCCUGAUCCAGCAAUGCCGCGUGAGUGAUGAAGGCCUUAGGGUUGUAAAGCUCUUUUACCAGGGAUGAUAAUGACAGUACCUGGAGAAUAAGCUCCGGCUAACUCCGUGCCAGCAGCCGCGGU
rnacentral:rRNA from 1 species